CCUACGGGAGGCAGCAGUGGGGAAUAUUGCACAAUGGGCGAAAGCCUGAUGCAGCAACGCCGCGUGAGCGAUGAAGGCCUUCGGGUCGUAAAGCCCUGUCCUCAAGGAAGAUAAUGACGGUACUCGAGGAGGAAGCCCCGGCUAACUACGUGCCAGCAGCCGCGGGAAUACGUAGGGGGCUAGCGUUAUCCGGAAUUACUGGGCGUAAAGGGUGCGUAGGUGGUUUCUUAAGUCAGAGGUGAAAGGCUACGGCUCAACCGUAGUAAGCCUUUGAAACUGGGGUACUUGAGUGCAGGAGAGGAGAGUGGAAUUCCUGGUGUAGCGGUGAAAUGCGUAGAUAUCAGGAGGAACACCGGUGGCGAAGGCGGCCUGCUGGACUGCAACUGACGUUGAGGCCCGAAAGCGUGGGGAGCAAACAGGAUUAGAUACCCCAGUAGUC
rnacentral:rRNA from 1 species